rnacentral:rRNA from 1 species
CAGCAGCCGCGGUAAUACGGAGGGUGCAAGCGUUAAUCGGAAUUACUGGGCGUAAAGCGCACGCAGGCGGUCUGACAAGUCAGAUGUGAAAUCCCCGGGCUUAACCUGGGAACUGCAUUUGAAACUGUCAGGCUGGAGUCUUGUAGAGGGGGGUAGAAUUCCAGGUGUAGCGGUGAAAUGCGUAGAGAUCUGGAGGAAUACCGGUGGCGAAGGCGGCCCCCUGGACAAAGACUGACGCUUAGGUGCGAAAGCGUGGGGAGCAAACAGGAUUAGAUACCCGUGUAGUCCCUGUCUCUUAUAA